rnacentral:rRNA from 1 species
UACGGAGGGGGCUAGCGUUAUUCGGAAUUAUUGGGCGUAAAGGGCGUGUAGGCGGCUUCGUGUGUCCCAUGUGAAAGCCCUCGGCUCAACCGGGGAACUGCAUGGGAAACUGCGGAGCUUGAGUCCGGGAGAGGAUAGUGGAAUUCCCAGUGUAGCGGUGAAAUGCGUAGAUAUUGGGAGGAACACCGGUGGCGAAGGCGGCUAUCUGGACCGGUACUGACGCUGAAACGCGAAAGCCAGGGAGCAAACGGG